GCCCGCCGCCUCCUGGGGCCGCUCUCCACUGCGAGUCCGCCGGGACUAACCGGGCGUUUGCGAGAGGGGGUGCGUCCAAGGGCCCCUCCCGCGUGUCCGGCGCCCACCUUUGGCCCUGAGGGCCGAGUGGGGAGCCCCACGACGCUAUUACAGCCUUUCAGAUGCACGGACUGGGAAACUGGGGCUCAGAGAAGUCAAGUGGCUCGCCCAAGGUCACCCAGCGAGUGAUCCUGGGAAGAGGGGACAAGGGCCGAGCUGGAGCUGGGAAGGGCGCCCCAGUUCGCCCCAGUCGCGCUCUGAGGAAUAGCAGCGGGACCGCCCUGCUCUCUAAAGCUUCCUGGACUUCUCUAAGUUAUGUCGCGUUGCUGUCCCCUCGUACUUAUAAGAGAGUAAGGCAGGGGCGCCGUCCUUUCUCCGCGCCUGAGCUCAGAGCGCCAACCUCCUGAGAUCCGCCAGCUCAGAGGUCGGUUACAUAAAAGCGCGUGCCCUUCUGGGCGUCUUUGUCAUCCCGACUUGCUCCUGGGUUGUCAUUCUCUUAGGUCAUAAACCGGCUGUGCCUGGACACAGCUGAGUGAGCCGCGUCUGAGCUCAUCCGCUCCUGGGGAGAGGCCCUGGGACGCCCCGCCUGUCGGUGGCAAUGCUCUCUGUCCCCUUCCGCCCACCCCCAACCCCCAGCAAAUGCUCUCCAAGGCCAUUUCAGAUUUCCCGAGGCAUGUGGAAUAAACGUCCCCCAGGAAGGCGAAGGACUCCAGUCCUUGCCCUGCCAUUUUUCCUGCCUUCAAACAGCCAGCUCAAGUCCCGGCCUCAAUGUCACCUUCCCUGGACAGCCUCUCAGGACCUCCCUGGCAAAUCUCAACUUGCAAGAAGCAGAAAAAUGGCACAGUUAAAAGCAAAGCCUCUGGGGUUAAACAGCCUGGAUUUGGAAUCAUGGAUCUGCUGCUCACUAGCUGUGACCUUGGGCAAGUUUCUUCACCUCAGGGUCCUCAUCCGUCAAGUGGAGAUGACAACCAAACUUAUUUCAUAAGAAGUUCAUGAGAAUAAAUAUGUUAACUCAUAAUGAAAUACCCA
rnacentral:lncRNA from 1 species